AAGGGACAGUAUGGAUAGGAGCCUUGGAGGGACAGUUUGGAUAGGAGUCUUACAGGGACAGUAUGGAUACUGUCCCUGUAAGACUCCUAUCCAAACUGUCCCUCCAAGGCUCCUAUCCAUACUGUCCCUUU
rnacentral:miRNA from 1 species